rnacentral:lncRNA from 1 species
AAGUCUCCCUCCUCUUCUGGGCGAGUGAACUGGUCAGGAAAACUUCUCUCCUCUUUGAGGAGUUGUGAAUGUUGGUUCACCAAGAUGGACCACACCAGGAGAAGCCUAUCCAAUUGCAGCCAGGAAGGCAGGGAAAGAGAGGAUGAUGGCAAUGGCUCUGCUCAGUUCUGAGCAGCAGGAGGAAAGGGAGGUUCUGCUCCACACAUGUGCAGCUCAUGCCAUGCCCGCUCUGUGUGACAUCGGAGCUUGUGGGGACUCCGCUGCACCUGAGAGUUUCGUGCUGCAGACAUGGCAGCCACUCCUUUCAGAGACACUUGGGAGUGCACAGGCAUCCUCAGAAGUGGAAGAGGCUUAGCCAUUGCCAAGGAAGACAUCUAGUCUACAGCACAGAAGGGUAUACACGGGCAAGUGGAUGAACUGCAGGACACACAGCAGUGCAGAGACAAAUGCACCGACAGAGGAAGCAGAUUUGCAGCGUCUGAGAGCAGGUGGCAGGUCAGGCAGGAGCAAUGGGCAGAUGAUCUUCAGGGGGAUAAUAGAGCACCCAGGUAGAAGUGGCCACAGAGCCCUCAGUGCUGGUGGUGAGUGUUGCCAGAGUGGAGAGAAGUGAGGAUGAAGAGAAAUGAGAGUCUGAAGUUUUCAGAGAAGAGACAGGGGAGCUCUGGAGCUUAGGGCCUGCUGUCAUU